AUUGAACGCUGGCGGAAUGCUUUACACAUGCGAGUCGAGCGGCAGCACGGGGGCAACCCUGGUGGCGAGCGGCGAACGGGUGAGUAAUACAUCAGAACAUGCCCAGUCGUGGGGGAUAACACUUCGAAAGAAGUGCUAAUACCGCAUACGUCCUGAGGGGGAAAGCGGGGGAUCGCAAGACCUCGCGCGAUUGGAGUGGCCGAUGUCAGAUUAGCUAGUUGGUGGGGUAAAGGCCUACCAAGGCAACGAUCUGUAGCUGGUCUGAGAGGAUGAUCAGCCACACUGGGACUGAGACACGGCCCAGACUCCUACGGGAGGCAGCAGUGGGGAAUUUUGGACAAUGGGGGCAACCCUGAUCCAGCCAUUCCGCGUGAGUGAAGAAGGCCUUCGGGUUGUAAAGCUCUUUCGGCAGGAACGAAACGGUGAGCUCUAACAUAGCUUGCUAAUGACGGUACCUGAAGAAGAAGCACCGGCUAACUACGUG
rnacentral:rRNA from 1 species